CCUACGGGAGGCAGCAGUGAGGAAUAUUGGUCAAUGGACGAGAGUCUGAACCAGCCAAGUAGCGUGAAGGAUGACUGCCCUAUGGGUUGUAAACUUCUUUUAUAUGGGAAUAAAAUGUUCCACGUGUGGGAUUUUGUAUGUACCAUAUGAAUAAGGAUCGGCUAACACCGUGCCAGCAGCCGCGGUAAUACGGAGGAUCCGAGCGUUAUCCGGAUUGAUUGGGUGUAAAGGGGGCGUAGGUGGAUUGUUAAGUCAGUUGUGAAAGUUUGCGGCUCAACCGUAAAAUUGCAGUUGAAACUGGCAGUCUUGAGUACAGUAGAGGUGGGCGGAAUUCGUGGUGUAGCGGUGAAAUGCUUAGAUAUCACGAAGAACUCCGAUUGCGAAGGCAGCUCACUGGACUGCAACUGACACUGAGGCUCGAAAGUGUGGGUAUCAAACAGGAUUAGAUACCCCAGUAGUC
rnacentral:rRNA from 1 species